CCUACGGGUGGCAGCAGUGAGGAAUAUUGGUCAAUGGACGAGAGUCUGACCCAGCCAAGUAGCGUGAAGGAUGACUGCCCUAUGGGUUGUAAACUUCUUUUAUAUGGGAAUAAAAUGUUCCCCUUGUGUGAUUUUGUGUGUACCCUAUGAAUAAGGAUCGGCUAACUCCGUUCCAGCAGCCGCGGUAAUACGGAGGAGCCGGGCGUUGUCCGGAUUUAUUGGGUUUAAAGGUAGCUUAGGUGGUUGAUUAAGUCAGUUGUGAAAGUUUGUGGCUCAACCGUACAAUUGCAGUUGAAACUGGCAGUCUUGAGUACAGUAGAGGUGGGCGGAAUUCGUGGUGUAGCGGUGAAAUGCUUAGAUAUCACGAAGAACUCCGAUUGCGAAGGCAGCUCACUGGACUGCAACUGACACUGAGGCUCGAAAGUGUGGGUAUCAAACAGGAUUAGAUACCCGAGUAGUC
rnacentral:rRNA from 1 species